rnacentral:rRNA from 1 species
UUGACGGGGACCCGCACAAGCAGCGGAGCGUGUGGUUUAAUUCGUUGCUACACGAAGAACCUUACCUGGGUUUGACAUAUAAGUUGUAGGGAACUGAAAGGGACCGACCUUCGGGGAGCUUAUACAGGUGUUGCAUGGCUGUCGUCAGCUCGUGUCGUGAGAUGUUCGGUUAAGUCCGCUAACGAGCGCAACCCUCGCCGUAUGUUACAAGUGUCAUACGGGACUGCCGGUAAAAGCCGGAGGAAGGUGAGGAUGAUGUCAAGUCAGCAUGACCUUUAUAUCCAGGGCUACACACACGCUACAAUGGUCUGUACAAUUGGUUGCCAAGCCGCGAGGCGGAGCCAAUCCGUAAAGCAGGCCUCAGUUCAGAUUGCAGUCUGCAACUCGACUGCAUGAAGCCGGAGUUGCUAGUAACCGCAGGUCAGCAAUACUGCGGUGAAUACGUUCCCGGGUCUU